AUGAAUGCCUAUACAUUCACCCUGCUCCUAACUCCCUGGUUGUUGAAUCGGUCAACCACAGGGAAUGGCAGGGCCAACCAGCUUUUACUCCAAAAAAUAAAGAUUCAAGGAGGCUGGAUUCAUUUGGGAGAAAAAUGUAUUUGUCCUCAAGCUUCCAGUUACAGGUGGCGAACCAUCAGGCUCUCCUGGGCCAGUAUGAGUUCAAUCUAUGGGGCUCUCUGCCCAAGUUUGAGGAUUCCCUCUAGGAGCGUGACAGGAAGGAAUUCAAAGCUCUGGUGGAGGAGGGUACAGCAGCUGUCAGGGCAACCCUGCAGGCAGUGUCGGAUGCAGCAGACAUGGCCGCACAGUCCAUGGCCUCUCAAGCUGUGGGACUUUUGUAUAGCCCACGACAUUUGCCUACCACUUACCGGGCACCUGGAACUCGCGGGUGGAUCGCUUGAGCAGGGACUUUUCCUCUCAGCACAAGUGGUCUCUUCACCCAGAGGUGGUGCACAGACUUUUCCAAGAGCCGGGACCUGUUCGCGACUUGACAGAACCGUCACUGUCCCCAGCUCUGCUCUGGGAGGGAAGAGGGGGCUAGGACAGGGCGCUAUUUCCGAUGCCUUCCUCCUGUCCUGGUCAGGCCAGUUUCGCUAUGCCUUCCCCCCCAUUCCCGCAGAUCGGCAGGGUCCUGGAAAAGAUAAAGACAGACAGAGCCCGGGUCCUCCUGAUUGCCCUGGCAUGACCCAGGCAGCAUUGGUACGGGACCCUCACGAGCCUGGCGGUUGCCCUGCCGUGGCCGUUGCCAUCCCACCUGGACCUGCUCUUCCAGGACCAAGGCCUUCUCCACCCCAUCCUAGCGGCACUCCACCUCACAGCGUGGCUGCUCAAUGGGUAGGCCGGGAGGAAAGGGCGUGCUCAGAAGGGGUUCAGCGUGUCCUCUUGGAAAGCAGGCGACCCUCCACACGCCAAGUCUACUUGGCAAAGUGGUCUUGGUUUUCCCGAUGGGCAGCUGAACGGGGCGUUUCCUCCGUAACUGUCCCAAACCAACUCAUUUUGGACUACCUCCUUCACUUUAGAGCCCAGGGCCUGGUGCCAUCGUCCGUCAAGGUGCACUUGGCGGCUAUAUCGGUCUUCCACCCGCCGGUGCAGGGGCACAUGGUAUUCUCCCAUGCCAUGACUAGCCGGUACCUUAAGGGAUUGAAUCGUCUCUUCCUGUACGUUAGGCCCCCAGUCCCACAGUGGGACCUGAACUUGGUGCUAGCCUGGCUUCCGGUCCCUAGUUUGAGCCUCUAG
rnacentral:lncRNA from 1 species